rnacentral:lncRNA from 1 species
GCAGUGUCGAUUUCGCAUGAAGGACAGCAAGUUCUGCUGUUCUGCGUGCCUGGGUGCUGUUCCAGUGUUUUUCUCCGUGUCAGAUGCUGCUCCCAGUGCAGGGAUGUGUGAGCAUUCUGUUUUUGGCUUCUGUCGGUGAACUAUUAAGGUAUGAAACAACAAUAAAAUGCCAUUAUUAUCUUUGGAGAGACAAGAUGGAAUCCAUUAAAUAAGAAGAUGCCAGUACAGAGGAAAAUCCAGAGGGGAAAAAAGAAUUCUUGGAAAUUAAAAUUGUGAUUUUAAAUACUUAAUAAAAUGGUUGGAAGAUAAUAUUUUCCCA